AAAAAAGGUAAGCUACUAAGAGCGAAUGGUGGAUGCCUUGACUGGUAAAGGCGAUGAAGGACGUACUAGACUGCGAUAAGCUACGGGGAGCUGUCAAGAAGCUUUGAUCCGUAGAUUUCCGAAUGGGGCAACCCAAUGUAUAGAGAUAUACAUUACCUAUAUAGGAGCGAACGAGGGGAAUUGAAACAUCUUAGUACCCUCAGGAAAAGAAAUCAAUAGAGAUUGCGUCAGUAGCGGCGAGCGAAAGCGCAAGAGGGCAAACCCAGUGCUUGCACUGGGGGUUGUAGGACUGCAAUGUGCAAGAGGUAAGUUUAGCAGAACAUUCUGGAAAGUAUAACCAUAGAGGGUGAUAGUCCCGUAUGCGAAAAACAAACCUUAGCUAGCAGUAUCCUGAGUAGGGCGGGACACGAGGAAUCCUGUCUGAAUCCGGGUCGACCACGAUCCAACCCUAAAUACUAAUACCAGAUCGAUAGUGCACAAGUACCGUGAGGGAAAGGUGAAAAGAACUGAGGUGAUCAGAGUGAAAUAGAACCUGAAACCAUUUGCUUACAAUCAUUCAGAGCCCUAUGUAGCAAUACAGGGUGAUGGACUGCCUUUUGCAUAAUGAGCCUGCGAGUUGUGGUGUCUGGCAAGGUUAAGCAAACGCGAAGCCGUAGCGAAAGCGAGUCUGAAUAGGGCGCUUAGUCAGAUGCUGCAGACCCGAAACGAAGUGAUCUAUCCAUGAGCAAGUUGAAGCUAGUGUAAGAACUAGUGGAGGACUGAACCCAUAGGCGUUGAAAAGCCCCGGGAUGACUUGUGGAUAGGGGUGAAAGGCCAAUCAAACUUCGUGAUAGCUGGUUCUCUCCGAAAUAUAUUUAGGUAUAGCGUUGUGUCGUAAUAUAAGGGGGUAGAGCACUGAAUGGGCUAGGGCAUACACCAAUGUACCAAACCCUAUCAAACUCCGAAUACCUUAUAUGUAAUCACAGCAGUCAGGCGGCGAGUGAUAAAAUCCGUCGUCAAGAGGGAAACAACCCAGACUACCAGCUAAGGUCCCUAAAUCUUACUUAAGUGGAAAACGAUGUGAAGUUACUUAAACAACCAGGAGGUUGGCUUAGAAGCAGCCAUCCUUUAAAGAAAGCGUAAUAGCUCACUGGUCUAGUGAUUUUGCGCGGAAAAUAUAACGGGGCUAAAGUAAGUACCGAAGCUGUAGACUUAGUUUACUAAGUGGUAGGAGAGCGUUCUAUUUGCGUC
rnacentral:rRNA from 1 species